rnacentral:sRNA from 1 species
UCUCCCACGCUGCAGUCGGUGGCUCUGGCCGGAAUCAGCACCGGAAUCGGAAUCGGAAUCGGUAUCGGAAUCGCAAUCCGAAUCGGAAUCGGAAUCUUGCCCGGAUUGAAGGCGGACUGGGAGUGAGAGAGUGUAUUUUUAGUGCUUGCGUGCGAAAUUUUGUUGGUGUCAAAGUUAAACCAUUUACGUGAGAUUGCAAGGACAGGCUAAGAAGAAGAGCAGCACAAAAAGGAUAAUUGCAACAGCAAC